AUGUGUAGGCCUCAUCUCCUCCAUCGUUCUCCAUCUCUAUCUUUUUGUUUCAUCUUCAGAAUAAUCCAUCAAGCGAACAUCGUAUACCAUGGAUCCAGGGCUCCGAUCUAUGCGCUUAAGAAAACUUGGAAAAGAUGGAAGAAAUCGAAGAUUAAGUCUUACCUACCAGAGAGAAAUCUAGAUUUUCUUCGAUUCAGGUACGAUUUCAUCCAUAUUUUCGAUUACUCUGCAUUUCUUCUUUUAAUUCAUUUCAUCUUUAUCUCAUUUCUGCACUUUUCUGUUACGCGAAUUUGUGAGGUUUGUGAUGCAGAUCGAAAAUGCAGAAGUGACGCAGUGAGGUGCUAUAGUUGA